CUAAUGAUUUGGCAAAGGAAAGGGAUACAUAAAGAAAUGUCAUUGUAUUGAUGUAGAUCGUACCUGAGAUAGAGUAGUGUAAAUAAAGGCACACACUGUCAUAAUAAUAAUAAAACCAUGUCUAAUGUAUAAUCCUAAUUUCCCAGAACAGAUGUGCUGAUGUUCAUCUCAUUAGUAUAUUUGCAUAAACAAUAAUAUUGGCCUCAUUAUCAGCAAUUAUGUAGGAGUUCUUUAAACUAUUAUUCAGUCCCAAGUUUCAUAGCACCUACCAGCCGGGAUAGGCUAGGCCGGUGGUUCAAAACGUGGGCUCCCUGGACCAGCAGCAGCACCAUCACCUGGGAACUUGUUAGUCUACUUUUAACAAAGCCUCCAGGUGAUUCUGAUGCAAACUGAAGUCUGGGAAACGCUGAAGUCCAGGUGUGAGUGGUAACCUGGGGUGGUUCCCGGGUGGAAUCUGGAACCCGCCUGUGUCCUGGAGGGCGGAGGGAGACUGAAGAAAAGAGGCAGACCUCUGCAGGUUGGUGGGUGGCAGGUUUGAUAAGGGAACCCAUAUCCGAGGCUUGUCUUGGAUAACCACAAGAGGCUAAGCCUCCACACCAGCUUCCCAGAUCUUUAGAGUUUAUAUAGAGGCCUUAACUGGAUUCAGUCAUGUGCACCUUCCAGGUGGUCUCAACACCACCUCCCUAAACCAAGGCUAUGCCCUAGGGGCAGCUUCUGGGAGCAGGAAGUCAUGCUGAGUGCACAUUCCAAGGACAGGGGAGGGAGUAGGUAAUUUCUGAUUGCUGAGGUCCAGUUCAUGGGUCAACUGGUGGUCACAUCUUCUCAGCCACCUCCUGCAAUACUCUAUCCCUUGUGACCAGCUCUUAGAGUCUCAUAUGAACCUCUCUUCCACCAUGUGCCCUGAGCAGUCAGCAAGGGGUUUCAGGAGCAUGGAGGUGGCUUGUUUGGUGGCUGUCUGGCUGCAUUGGAGGCAGAUAACACAGCAAUAAUACAGGUACAUGCAAAAGAAAACACAGAUGAUGACAAUGGUUCCUAAAAAUCAAUGACAGUUUUUUUCCACCAAGAGCCCUAUGAUCUGAACCACUGACUUAUUAGUUCCUUAAGGCUGAGGAUCAGAUCAGUCGGGACAUUUGUUUGUAUCCUCACGUGAUUUAAUAAAGAUGAUACAUUAUCAGUCUCUUUAGGUUUAAACACACAAUAUUCUGUAUGGAUAAUGGCAUAGGUGCUGCCUCAUGAGGAAGUAAUAAUGUCCAAGGCCAUCCUAUUUUGGAGGACAGCUUUUCUCAUUAGAGACAUUCCAGUGUUCAAUAAAGACAGGUUUUGUUGGUUAUCAUUUAAGUCUUGCUGAGUGAAUUCAGUGAGGGCUUCUAUGGGUGCUAUCAUGUCCUUCGGGACAAUGGAGGGAACAAAGACAGUGGCCAAAUAAUUGUACUGGUGGAAAACAGAACAUGCCCAGCUGGCUUUAGGGAAAUAGAGGUAGGCAGCUUUAGGGACUUGACCUGGUUGUAUAUACCAUACAUAUUGACUGGGAGAGGGAGCACUGCCAGGCAUGAGGAGAUGGUCUAGGGGUGGGAUAUGCCAGACAAAGAUCCUUGCUUUCUCCCCUAUUUCAGUGGUGCAUGUUCCAUCCCAGACAUAGUGUGCUUCAACAGAUCCAGUUUGUAGCACGACAAUGGGAUUCCAGUGGAGACUGAGAAGUCCACCCUCAGUGGUGUAAAGUAACUCACUCAUCCUGGUGAGUUGUAAAUUCUUGUACAUGACUCCUUUCCCAGGCGUGAUGGAGCUUAGUAUUGUCAGCAGCACUGCAUAUUGAUUUACAGUGAGAGGGCAAUGGCUGUUUCCUGUGAUUUCCACAGCAGUAUGGUUUUGGGUAUCUGGGUAGAGGUCUCUAGUCUGGCAUAUGGGGCGAGAGGCCCAAUGGUUAAUCAUUCAAAUGUAUUAAAGCAUGGGACAGUAUUUUAAUUCUCCCAGCCAAAGUGGCUUUACCUUUUAGUAACUUAAUCUGUUGCUUUCAUAUUCCAUUUUUCUUUUCUACCAACCUUGCUGCUUACAGAUUAUAGGAGAUAUGAAACCUUUGUUCAAAAUCAUGUUCUUUUGCCCAGGCUUACAUAUCAUGAUCUUUGAAAUGUGACCCCUGACUGUUUAGUCAACAAGGGUAGACAUACAUGGUACUUGGCUUCCCUAAUAUACUAAUGGUGACACAGGAAAGCUUGGGUUAGGAUGGAUGCAGUGCCCGAGGUAAAUUUAGAAUCCCCACUCAGAAAGAAGGGGCCAAUAUAGUCAAUUUGCCAGUUCUUCACCAAUCAGGAUCUCUGGAAGAUGGACCCGAAUUCUUCUGGCACUUACCUCGGGCAUUAUUUAGAACAUACAUGACAUGCCAUUACUACAUUAACCAAGUAUUUUAAGGACAAUUGACAUUCUUGCCAAUAUACCAACCGACGUGGGUACAAUGGUGGACACUCUUUCUAUUCACCCCUUCUGCUGUAUCUACAGAAGGGUCAGUCGGUAGAGCUCAUAUCUGAACGAGGGAAGCAUCUUUCUGACUGCCAGGGGAUAUCAGUUCCUUAUGGGCCAGGAUGUGGAAAAGAGUGAAGACUGGCUCAGGUUCUUGCAAGGCAAAUCAGAUGCCUUUCCAUAUAUCCUGACCACACAGGGGUUUAUUCCAAUCCUUGGCUUCCCACUGUCUGAGUCAUUGGGUUAAUCCCCUUAGAACACCCCAACUUUCGGUGCAAAGAGUUAAUGGCCAGGGCUCAUCGGUGAUCAUUGGCCAAACUCCUCUGGGUUCAUCUCAAUGUCUGCUGUGGUUUAUUCCUUCUUGAGAGACUCCACCUGGAGGAAAACUAUGAACAUUGCUAAGAACUGUUUGCAUUAUUGGAAUAUAUUGUUUUUUUGUCCACUUCCAGAGUUGGGACCAAAAUCCUAGAGGCACUCUCCCCUUCCAUUUUCUCUGCCAGAUUGCCCAACUCAUACCUUCUGGAGUCAUAGAUGCAUCUAACUCAAAUGGCAGCACUGCUUGGAAGAUGUCCAGACCUUUAAUCUACUUCAUGGAUACUUUUGCUUUCUUAGAGGUGGUUUCCUGCUCUGAUUCCAGUUCCACAUGUGCCCUUUCUUUAUCAGGUGGUAUAAAUGAUGGAGGCACUCUCAGGUGGGGAGUAAAAGUUCUCUAAAAUCCCAAGGUUCCUACAAAGGCUUGCAUUUCCUUUACAGUCUUAGGAGUUGGAUAGGUUUGCAUCUUUGUAAACACAGCAUUAGGGGCAAUAUAUGUCUUACCAAAUGAUUCCCAAAAUUUUAUGAUGGUGCCUGGGUGGGCCUUGGAUUUUCGGUCAGUUCAUUGUCCAUCCUCUCCUUUGCAGAUGUUCUUGCAAAGCCUGCAGCAGAGGCAAAUGUUCUCAUAUUAAGAUUAUAUCAUCAAUGUAAUGGGCCCAUUUUAUUGAUGUAGGGAAGGAGAAUAGGGACAGUUCUCAGGCUAUCAUUCUAUGACAUAUAGUGGGGCUGUACAGGUAAACUUGGGGAAGUAUUCAAAAGGUCCAUUGUUGUCCCUCCCAUGUGUAGGUAAAUUGAUCUUGUGGCUCGGUGCCAGUGGUAUACUGAAAAAGGUAUUUGCUAAGUCUAGUUGAUCAUGGUAUAUUCCUAGGACUAUGGCCAAGGUAUCUAAGAAGGUGGCAAUGUUGGGCAAUGUUGCAUGAAUGCGGAACGCUACUUUGUUCAAUGCUUGGUAGUCCACCAUCAUCUACCAUGAACCAUCUUGCUUUUUUACUGGAAAUAUGGGGUUGUUGAAAGUACUAUGGGAAGGACAUAACAGACCCGUUUGAUGCGCAUCUUGGAUAGUUUCUUGCAUGUCCUGAUGCCCUCCAGACAAUGUAUAUUGUUGGACAGUUACCAUUCUUCAUGGGGAUGGCAGGAUUACCAAUUCCCAAAUGGCAUUUCUCCAUGAAACUGGGUUAAUUAUUCUAACCUGGAGGUGAAAUUCACCUAUAGAGGUUUUCAGAGUUUGACCUUGUCGGGUAUGAAUGCCCAGUAUGUUCUCUGGCAUUGGAAAGCUGAAAAUCUCAUGUUCUUGGGAGUGGAAUGCUCUAUUUGCAGUGUCAGAAGGAUCUUCCUGACCAUAUGUGUUUGCCCAUUGUAACCAUCAGUGGUGUUGAGAGAACCAGAACACUUCUGAGGGUUACCAUGUACUAGAGUACGUUUGGCUCCAGCCGGUAUUCACCAGCGCUGCCGCCUUUUGUUUAUUUCUGGAGAACCAGGAAAUGGUGAGCUCAGUGAGGCCUCUAAUCACCUCCAACUCUCACCUGGAGGCAAUCUUGGCUUGCAUCUUCUGGCUGGGGUGUGGGAGGUAGUUGUGAUAGCCGUAUAGCCUUUUGAGCUCUCUCUAUUUUUGGGGUCUUUCAUAGAGCCUGUACCCAUUCUUGGGAUUUGUCAGUUUCCCCUAGAUCAACAAUGGACUGUCUAACAUCAUAAAUAUCUUGUCCCACAACUGGGUUCAGCACGGAUAUCAUUACCCCAUACCAGGUGCUAGAAUAUCUUAGCUUUUAUUACUGCAGUGAAUGUGGUCCAAUCAGGACCUUCAAAGACAGAAGUUUAGAUUGUCUCAUUCUCAAUUCCCUAAGAAUUUGUUGUACAUCUUGUACAGAUUUCCCCAGGUCUCACAUGUCCAGGGAGUUCAUACUCAUUGGGUCAAGACUCCUUGAAAGAUAGAAUAAUCUAUAAGGGAAUGAGUGCCUUGAAUCCCCCAAGUGCCAUGAGGGUGCUGCCAGAGGACAAAGUGCAUGAUGGUGAUGUUGUUCAUUUUCUGUGCCUCCUGCCCAGAGAAAUGCCAUUGUUCCCCCUACCCCAUAGCUGCCCUAGCCAUGUCUGCAUAGUAUCCCUGGCCUUCUACUGAAACUUGGCAGCUAUAUCGGUAAGCUCAGUGGAAGUAUAUUGUCUCAUCAUGAACGUUUCCUGAAUUGGGGGCUGCCCUGCUGGCUGAGGUUGUUGUGGCUAUGCUUUUGCUUUCCUUUGUAUUAGGGGUCAGAUGGCAGGGGCAUUUGGUCUAUUUCACUGUCAAUCACAAUAUCUUCCUCUUUACUCUCAUCACUUUCCCAGGGAUUUCACCUGUGAGACACCCAAUCAAGCUUAGUUAUAAACCCUGGACCUUAAUCCGUGUCAGCUUGCCCCCGCCCCACCAGCUUUACAAAAUGGCAGGCUAAGUUUCUCCACUUUAUCAUCCUGCUCUCCUGCCUUGUCUGCCGGCGCUGAAGCUAGCUGAGUAGUGAACAACUGCAUAUUCGUCUCUAGCCUCAGCUCUUCUUUCAGCUCUCUGGCUUGACCUUCAGUCUCUGUUAGGCAUUGGCCUCCAGUUGAACUGCCCACGGAAGAGGCCAGCCCACGGCUCAGCCAAGCAUUUCUGUGCUUUGCAUAGUGAAGUCUGCACAGUUCUGCAAGCAAGUGCGUUAGACCAGCUGGCAUUUUCCCAGGUGUCCCCUCAUAUCAAGGCUCUGUCCCCAGGCUCUUAUAUACAGGCCGUGUCUCUUCACCGGGAGGUCCCCGGCUAAUGCAGGAUUUUCCCCACCGAUGACUCUUCCCCAAGGACCAUUUCUCUGUGUCUCCUGGCUGCUGUGAAUUGUGUGUUCACAACCUGAGGAGCGUCUGGGGUAUAAUCUGAAACUUCCCUCAGCUUCGAAGGGUACGGAGAGGCUGAAGAAAGAGGAAGACCACUCCAGACAGUGACCCGCGGUCUUCUGUGAUCCAGAAGCAGAUGAUUCUCCCCUGACAUAUGGUCAGAAGGUCUAUAGUAGCUUAAAGCGAUAUCUGUAUCUGCAUCAUUCACCACACUUCAUCUCAUCAGGGGUGAUAUGAGCAUAAUUAAAAUUUCUAAGACCCAGAAACACAUAUAGCUUACAGGGAUGAAAAUCUGUUAGAUGACACGCAACCUGCCCUUUCAAAGCUCCUCAAGGACCCUGGGGAUUUUGCAGCCAUCUGGAAUUUGCUGUCAUGCUGUGAUUUCUGCAGUUCCGUGUGACUCUUGACGACCAUUUAUGUGUCAGAUGACAUUUGUCUAUGAAGAAUUUCUCCUUCCUCUUCAUCCUCAAAUUCUCAUGCUAAGGUGAGCAGGAGAGAGACCACCUUUAGUUAUCACAUCUUGGGCUCAGUGUUGCAAUGGUUUUGCAGCUCAUCAAACACAAUGAACAUCUGUUCUUUCAAGUGUAGAGAAUCCUACAGAGAUUGAAGUGCAUUUGCUGACAAAUAUUUUAUGCAAUACAUCUUAGAUACUGUCUGGACUAUGACAUGACAUAUUUUUCAGUUCUCUUCCACAUUUAUUUCAUUUUUUUUCCAUUCUAUAACCAUCAUUAACUUCUAAGAGCCCAGUAUAUGAUAUGCAAAUGGAGAUUUGAAAAGGAAAAUAGAUCAUUUGGCUUUGUUAAGACAGAUUUUGUUUCCGUGGUUGGCAAUUAUGAUUGCUAUGUCUUUGCUUUUGUUUUGGGGGAUUCGCCAUGUGCUUUUGAUAUAAAAUAUAUGUAACUUUAGAUAUAUAAAUAAUGUAAUAGAUUUCAGAUUGAUUACCAACAUGUCCUGUGAAAUUCUUUGAGUCAUCGAACUUCUCUGUGCAUUAAAGUUCUUACUUUUUUGUCUACAAUGUAGAAGCCAAUGUCAAGCCAGCAGGGGAAGUCUCUUUAAAACCAUAGGAAAUUGAACAACUUAGAUUGACUUUAUGCCUGAGAAAUAGAUCUUAGAUAAGGUGAUCUGCCCCAGUUACCCAAGGAGCCUUUGGUAAUGGGAGAACAAAACUAGACCUAAACCUGUGUGUGCUAAAUUUAUCAAUACCUCUCUUUCUCAGGAAUAAAUUUAAUCCUUAUGUAUCAAAAAUGAUAUUAUGAUAAAAUAAAGUAAUAGGUAAUAAUUCUAUGAAA